AUUGACCUCGGAUCAGGUAGGGACACCCCCGCUGAACUUAAGCAUAUCAAUAACCC
rnacentral:rRNA from 1 species